GAUGAACGCUAGCGGCAGGCCUAAUACAUGCAAGUCGAACGGUAACAUGGCAGCAAUGCUGAUGACGAGUGGCGCACGGGUGCGUAACGCGUAUGCAACCUACCCUUCACUGGGGAAUAGCCCGGAGAAAUUCGGAUUAACACCGCAUAAUAUGGUUAGUAGGCAUCUACAUAUCAUUAAAUCUACGGAGGUGAAGGAUGGGCAUGCGUCCAAUUAGCUAGUUGGUGAGGUAAUUGCUCACCAAGGCUAUGAUU
rnacentral:rRNA from 1 species